rnacentral:rRNA from 1 species
GAUGAACGCUGGCGGCGUGCUUAACACAUGCCAGUCGAACGGUGAACACGGAGCUUGCUCUGUGGGAUCAGUGGCGAACGGGUGAGUAACACGUGAGCAACCUGCCCCUGACUCUGGGAUAAGCGCUGGAAACGGCGUCUAAUACUGGAUAUGUGACGUGACCGCAUGGUCUGCGUUUGGAAAGAUUUUUCGGUUGGGGAUGGGCUCGCGGCCUAUCAGCUUGUUGGUGAGGUAAUGGCUCACCAAGGCGUCGACGGGUAGCCGGCCUGAGAGGGUGACCGGCCACACUGGGAUUGAGACACGGCCCAGACUCCUACGGGAGGCAGCAGUGGGGAAUAUUGCACAAUGGGCGAAAGCCUGAUGCAGCAACGCCGCGUGAGGGAUGACGGCCUUCGGGUUGUAAACCUUUUUUAGCAGGGAAGAAGCGAAAGUGACGGUACCUGCAGAAAAAGCGCCGGCUAACUACGUG